CCCGAGGAACGGUAGAAACCGGGAUCGCGGAGGUGCGAGCCCGAGCCCGGGAGCGGAGCGCUUCCCGGGGAGACGCCAAGACGGCGAGAAAGGAGGAGCGGGAACGCAGAGGUUAAGCGGAGGGAAGGCCGAGGAGAAACAGCCAGAGGACGGGAAGGAGGAAAUAGACGGGGAGAAGAAACUGAAGAUUAGUCGUUGAGGUGUAUUAAGAAAGAGGACAUGUCGCCUAUUUUAGGAAAAGUGGCUUUGAGCUCCCCCCGCACCCCCACCAUUUUUUCUUUCUCUUUUGCCCGCCAACCGCUGAACUGAUUAGACUGUAAUUAAGGCCAUAAAGCCCUCAGAUUAUACACCUGUUUAUUCACUGAAGUCGGGGUCUCAUCAAGCAAAUUAGCUGCUUGCAGGCUACACAUUGGGCCUCGAGCUUGCCUGAUUAAUGAAGUUUAUUGGGAGCUGUUAAAAGCAUUAACUGGAGAAAAUCUCAGCAAUUCGUCAUAUUUAAGGGAUGAAAAUUAAAUCUUGCUAUGCAAAUGAGAAAAAAAUUUUAAACCAUCUUUGGGGGGUUACUGUCUGCAUAUUAUUUUGCUUUAAAAUUCUGUUCAGGAAAUAGGAAUUAACAUGAAAUAUUAUUUGCCCUUAAAGUUAUCAAAAAUAUUGAAUCGCACCUUAUGUGGCAUUGUGGGGAGAGAAAAAGAAAACAUAAGGAAAUUCCCAUAUAGUCCGUUUCCCAGUGCAAAGAAUUUUCUAAGACACCUAAUCACAAAGCCAACUUUCACGAGAAACCCAGUUUUUAAAAUUAAUGUAUCCAGUUACAGAAUGAGAUUUGGGAGUAGUCCUUCAAGGGGUUUAAUGUUUGAUGGUGGGUGGGGGGGACGAUGAAAUCAGCAGAGAGAGGAGGGGAGUUCAUGUAAGUGCCCUGGAUAAGGAGCACGUGUGAGAAUGGCAGAAAAGCAGUAGAGUGGCAAGAAAAAGUAUCCAAAAUGAAUCAAUACUCUCAUAAACUGGCUGUAGAAAAUGUUUCUGUACAGUGUUUUUUACUGUAACCACUAUGGUUCUUUGGACAGGUCGGGGAAGGUGUGAUUAUGAAAAUAAACAAGGGAAGUGAGGGAAAUAUAACCAAGUGGAAAAAGGAAAUGGAGUGCAAAUUGAGAACAUAAUCCAGAAUUCGUAAAAGUGGUAUGGAUAAAGAAGGUCAAAAUGGUCUCUGAUGAAAAGAAACUUUUAAAAUGCUUGGAAAAGUUAAUGAAUUAGAUUUCCCUGCACUUGAAGAUAUUAGGAUUGGGAGAUCAAGACUCCCAUCAGCCAAAUCAAGAAUAUUCACAAUUGACAGGAAAACUCAAAGUUUCUUUUUCCCCACCAGAGAAAUGUCUCCCACCCCCAUAGCUAAACAGUGGUAAGUCAUAGAAAUGAUUAUAUUAGCUUAAAGAGAAUGUUUCCUAAGCAAUAAACUUCAAGUGCACACAA